UUGGGAUAGAAAGAGACCUUUU
rnacentral:snRNA from 1 species